GCGCCCCUAGCUCAGUGGUCAGAGCAUACGUCUGAUAAGCGUGAGGCCGAUGGUUCGAAUCCAUUGGGGCGCACCA
rnacentral:tRNA from 1 species